CCUACGGGCGGCAGCAGUGGGGAAUAUUGCGCAAUGGGCGAAAGCCUGACGCAGCGACGCCGCGUGAGGGAUGAAGGUCUUCGGAUCGUUAACCUCCGUCAGCAGGGAAGAACGGUCACUGUGCUAAUCAGCAGUGAAUUGACGGUACCUGCAAAGGAAGCACCGGCUAACUCCGUACAAGCAGCCGCGGUAAUACGGAGGGUGCGUGCGUUAAUCGGAUUUACUGGGCGUAAGGCGCUCGUAGGCGGUAUGUCAAGUCAAGGGUGAAAUCCCCGCGCUCAACGUGGGAACUGCCUUUGAAACUGGCAAACUGGAGUGUGUGAGAGGAUAGUGGAAUUCGAGGUGUAGGAGUGAAAUCCGUAGAUAUCUGGAGGAACAUCAGUGGCGAAGGCGACUAUCGGGAACAUAACUGACGCUGAGGAGCGAAAGCGUGGGUAGCAAACAGGAUUAGAUACCCUAGUAGUC
rnacentral:rRNA from 1 species